AGAGUUUGAUCAUGGCUCAGGAUGAACGCUGGCGGCGUGCCUAACACAUGCAAGUCGAGCGAGAAAUCUUGAAAUGAAACUUCGGUAGAUUUUUAAGAUGGAAAGCGGCGGACGGGUGAGUAACGCGUAGGCAACCUGCCUUAUGCAGAGGGAUAGCCAUUGGAAACGAUGAUUAAAACCUCAUAACGCCGGAGAGUCACAUGGUUUUCCGGCCAAAGAUUUAUCGGCAUAAGAUGGGCCUGCGU
rnacentral:rRNA from 1 species